AUGGCCAUCCACGGCGUGGCGUGUUGCCCGACCCGCAGCGACUCCUCGUGCGUGGCAUGGCUCCCCUCGUCCGCCCAUGGCGGAAGCAGACCUGGUCGUGGCCUCCCUCUAGAGCGCGCGAUGCGGCUCUCGCCAUGGCGCAGCCCUCACCAGCCUCCCACGGCUGUGCGCGACGGCUCCCUCCCGGCGCGGAGGCGGUGCCCAGCGACGCCGUUGCAAGGCCGGUUACCUGAAGCGGUCUGCGCGGCACUGAUGUACGCCCUCUGA
rnacentral:rRNA from 1 species